rnacentral:rRNA from 1 species
UUAAGCGACUAAGCGUACACGGUGGAUGCCCUGGCAGUCAGAGGCGAUGAAGGACGUGCUAAUCUGCGAUAAGCGUCGGUAAGGUGAUAUGAACCGUUAUAACCGGCGAUUUCCGAAUGGGGAAACCCAGUGUGAUUCGUCACACUAUCAUUAACUGAAUCCAUAGGUUAAUGAGGCGAACCGGGGGAACUGAAACAUCUAAGUACCCCGAGGAAAAGAAAUCAACCGAGAUUCCCCCAGUAGCGGCGAGCGAACGGGGAGCAGCCCAGAGCCUGAAUCAGUAUGUGUGUUAGUGGAAGCGUCUGGAAAGGCGCGCGAUACAGGGUGACAGCCCCGUACACAAAAAUGCACAUGCUGUGAGCUCGAUGAGUAGGGCGGGACACGUGGUAUCCUGUCUGAAUAUGGGGGGACCAUCCUCCAAGGCUAAAUACUCCUGACUGACCGAUAGUGAACCAGUACCGUGAGGGAAAGGCGAAAAGAACCCCGGCGAGGGGAGUGAAAAAGAACCUGAAACCGUGUACGUACAAGCAGUGGGAGCACAGAGCAAUCUGUGUGACUGCGUACCUUUUGUAUAAUGGGUCAGCGACUUAUAUUCUGUAGCAAGGUUAACCGAAUAGGGGAGCCGAAGGGAAACCGAGUCUUAACUGGGCGUUAAGUUGCAGGGUAUAGACCCGAAACCCGGUGAUCUAGCCAUGGGCAGGUUGAAGGUUGGGUAACACUAACUGGAGGACCGAACCGACUAAUGUUGAAAAAUUAGCGGAUGACUUGUGGCUGGGGGUGAAAGGCCAAUCAAACCGGGAGAUAGCUGGUUCUCCCCGAAAGCUAUUUAGGUAGCGCCUCGUGAAUUCAUCUCCGGGGGUAGAGCACUGUUUCGGCAAGGGGGUCAUCCCGACUUACCAACCCGAUGCAAACUGCGAAUACCGGAGAAUGUUAUCACGGGAGACACACGGCGGGUGCUAACGUCCGUCGUGAAGAGGGAAACAACCCAGACCGCCAGCUAAGGUCCCAAAGUCAUGGUUAAGUGGGAAACGAUGUGGGAAGGCCCAGACAGCCAGGAUGUUGGCUUAGAAGCAGCCAUCAUUUAAAGAAAGCGUAAUAGCUCACUGGUCGAGUCGGCCUGCGCGGAAGAUGUAACGGGGCUAAACCAUGCACCGAAGCUGCGGCAGCGACGCUGAUGCGUUGUUGGGUAGGGGAGCGUUCUGUAAGCCUGUGAAGGUGUGCUGUGAGGCAUGCUGGAGGUAUCAGAAGUGCGAAUGCUGACAUAAGUAACGAUAAAGCGGGUGAAAAGCCCGCUCGCCGGAAGACCAAGGGUUCCUGUCCAACGUUAAUCGGGGCAGGGUGAGUCGACCCCUAAGGCGAGGCCGAAAGGCGUAGUCGAUGGGAAACAGGUUAAUAUUCCUGUACUUGGUGUUACUGCGAAGGGGGGACGGAGAAGGCUAUGUUGGCCGGGCGACGGUUGUCCCGGUUUAAGCGUGUAGGCUGGUUUUCCAGGCAAAUCCGGAAAACUAAGGCUGAGGCGUGAUGACGAGGCACUACGGUGCUGAAGCAACAAAUGCCCUGCUUCCAGGAAAAGCCUCUAAGCAUCAGGUAACAUCAAAUCGUACCCCAAACCGACACAGGUGGUCAGGUAGAGAAUACCAAGGCGCUUGAGAGAACUCGGGUGAAGGAACUAGGCAAAAUGGUGCCGUAACUUCGGGAGAAGGCACGCUGAUAUGUAGGUGAAGUCCCUCGCGGAUGGAGCUGAAAUCAGUCGAAGAUACCAGCUGGCUGCAACUGUUUAUUAAAAACACAGCACUGUGCAAACACGAAAGUGGACGUAUACGGUGUGACGCCUGCCCGGUGCCGGAAGGUUAAUUGAUGGGGUCAGCGCAAGCGAAGCUCUUGAUCGAAGCCCCGGUAAACGGCGGCCGUAACUAUAACGGUCCUAAGGUAGCGAAAUUCCUUGUCGGGUAAGUUCCGACCUGCACGAAUGGCGUAAUGAUGGCCAGGCUGUCUCCACCCGAGACUCAGUGAAAUUGAACUCACUGUGAAGAUGCAGUGUACCCGCGGCAAGACGGAAAGACCCCGUGAACCUUUACUAUAGCUUGACACUGAACAUUGAGCCUUGAUGUGUAGGAUAGGUGGGAGGCUUUGAAGUGUGGACGCCAGUCUGCAUGGAGCCGACCUUGAAAUACCACCCUUUAAUGUUUGAUGUUCUAACGUUGACCCGUAAUCCGGGUUGCGGACAGUGUCUGGUGGGUAGUUUGACUGGGGCGGUCUCCUCCUAAAGAGUAACGGAGGAGCACGAAGGUUGGCUAAUCCUGGUCGGACAUCAGGAGGUUAGUGCAAUGGCAUAAGCCAGCUUGACUGCGAGCGUGACGGCGCGAGCAGGUGCGAAAGCAGGUCAUAGUGAUCCGGUGGUUCUGAAUGGAAGGGCCAUCGCUCAACGGAUAAAAGGUACUCCGGGGAUAACAGGCUGAUACCGCCCAAGAGUUCAUAUCGACGGCGGUGUUUGGCACCUCGAUGUCGGCUCAUCACAUCCUGGGGCUGAAGUAGGUCCCAAGGGUAUGGCUGUUCGCCAUUUAAAGUGGUACGCGAGCUGGGUUUAGAACGUCGUGAGACAGUUCGGUCCCUAUCUGCCGUGGGCGCUGGAGAACUGAGGGGGGCUGCUCCUAGUACGAGAGGACCGGAGUGGACGCAUCACUGGUGUUCGGGUUGUCAUGCCAAUGGCACUGCCCGGUAGCUAAAUGCGGAAGAGAUAAGUGCUGAAAGCAUCUAAGCACGAAACUUGCCCCGAGAUGAGUUCUCCCUGACUCCUUGAGAGUCCUGAAGGAACGUUGAAGACGACGACGUUGAUAGGCCGGAUGUGUAAGCGCAGCGAUGCGUUGAGCUAACCGGUACUAAUGAACCGUGAGGCUUAACCUU